GACGAACGCUGGCGGCGUGCCUAAUACAUGCAAGUAGAACGCUGAAGGAGGAGCUUGCUUCUCUGGAUGAGUUGCGAACGGGUGAGUAACGCGUAGGUAACCUGCCUGGUAGCGGGGGAUAACUAUUGGAAACGAUAGCUAAUACCGCAUAAUAGUAGAUGUUGCAUGACAUUUGCUUAAAAGGUGCAAUUGCAUCACUACCAGAUGGACCUGCGUUGUAUUAGCUAGUUGGUGGGGUAACGGCUCACCAAGGCGACGAUACAUAGCCGACCUGAGAGGGUGAUAGGCCACACUGGGACUGAGACACGGCCCAGACUCCUACGGGAGGCAGCAGUAGGGAAUCUUCGGCAAUGGACGGAAGUCUGACCGAGCAACGCCGCGUGAGUGAAGAAGGUUUUCGGAUCGUAAAGCUCUGUUGUAAGAGAAGAACGAGUGUGAGAGUGGAAAGUUCACACUGUGACGGUAUCUUACCAGAAAGGGACGGCUAACUACGUG
rnacentral:rRNA from 1 species